UGCGUUGAUUAUUUGCAAAAC
rnacentral:piRNA from 1 species